ensembl:lncRNA
ACACACACACACAACUGUAUGUUAUUCUAUAGCUGUUAUUCAGUACUUGCGCAUGUGUCAUGAAGUCACUCGGUAGCUAGCCUACAUAAAAAAACGUUACCAAAAAAAAAAAUAGAUCAUGAUAAAUCUGGUUUGUGAAAUACACUUUUUAUUGCGAAUCAAAUCAUCACGACUCUAAAACAGAUCAGACACGAUUUGUAAGUUGUUUUAACCCAAUAAGCUUUAGUCAUCGUGAUUUUUAUUAUUAUUAUUUUUAAUUGUACAUACACUCGGAAUUAUCGACUUGUCAGAAAUUAGACGCGUGUCGAUGGUUUUGUGGAAAAUUUUUGCGGUGACAGAAUCUAUUUCCUUCUCCGCAGAGAACCCGGCGAUAUUUUUGACGUGUCCGUGACGACAAUGCGUAAUGUCAUGAUGUAAUUUAUAACCGGGGGGGGUGGAUCGGGGGUUGUUGACACACGCCGGUAAUAUUUCGUCCUGUUCACAUUUCACACUUAUAAUCAUUUUCGAAACGUUCUUUCUUCUCUCUUGUACACAAGCGACCCCAGUUUUACCCCGGAAAUUGUACAGGGCAUGAUUUUAUUAUUUUUAAUUUUUUUUUAUUUUUCUUUCCAGAAAGACUCAGUUGUAUAUAUUUUGAACAGCUGUAUCAAAAAAAAAAUGUUUCCUGAAUAUUUUUCUUGUCUUGUAAAAUAUGUCGACCUUUUCCCCGGUGGUGUUUUUUUCCCCCUCCUCCGCUGUAUAGUAGGUCUCAACAGUUUUGGAAAAUGAAGCCUUUUGAAGUACACAGAGCGAUUAUAGGGUUUGGUAUUCAAGGAACUGAAUUUAGGAACAUUUACAGAAAAAAAUAAAAUAUUUUACAUCACUGGUGGUUGUUUACAGUGUGAAUGAAUUACGGGCCAACAGAAGCUGGCGUCACUCUCAACGACGUUAUCCCAAAGAGAAUGAAUUAAACAGCGUCUGUGUUUAAAAUACUAAAACCCCGCAUGGAAAUGUUCUAGAAUGUCGGUGAAAGCAUCUAAUGGUUUCCAUUUAAAAAAUACCAUUACAAACCAUUACCAUUAUUGGUUGAGAACGAUAUCCACUGGACAUAACAUGCCACCAACAGAAAGCAACAAAUUACCAAUAGAGCAAUUACC